AAAAAAACAAAACACGCUGCUUGGCACCAGCCGAAUGUUGUCCUUCGUAGUUCGUAGUGCAAAGCAAUCUACUACGGCAUGCAGUUCUAGCAGCGAAGGGAGGGGGAGUGCGAGCUGUGCCAAGACAAUACAUAACCCUCCAUGGACAUCUGCCAUAGAGCCAGCUGUGGCUGGGGCUGCCGUGGUGUCUGCCAGCGUGUGAAAGCGGCAUCCAGGGGUGGGAGGGAUGCCCGAAGACUUGGAGACCUGCUCUCGUGCUUGUGCUGUGACAGUCUGGGGUAGGAAAACCGGUAUCCCCUGUCACUCAGAUGCACAAGUGCUUAACCCAGCUCCCUCUGUGACCUCAACAAUCAAAUGAAGAACACACAGCAUUGGCUGAGUCUGAUUCCAAUCUCUCUGUACACGAUGACCAGCCUGAGAGCAGUCAACGGGCUUGUGGCACAUGAAGAGGGUUUCUGCAGUUUCUGCUGAUGGAGGCGUCUUUAUCUCCUCUCUUGGCUAUGAACACUUAUGAAACUUUGGCCAGGAGAAUUACUAAGGAUCUGCUGGUAAUAACCCGAAUGCACGCAGAGGGACUUCCUUUCCUGCAGAUCCUGGAUGAGAUGAUUUU